rnacentral:rRNA from 1 species
UGGGGAAUAUUGGGCAAUGGGCGCAAGCCUGACCCAGCAACGCCGCGUGAAGGAAGAAGGCUUUCGGGUUGUAAACUUCUUUUCUCAGGGACGAAGCAAGUGACGGUACCUGAGGAAUAAGCCACGGCUAACUACGUGCCAGCAGCCGCGGUAAUACGUAGGUGGCAAGCGUUAUCCGGAUUUACUGGGUGUAAAGGGCGUGUAGGCGGGAAAGCAAGUCAGAUGUGAAAACCAUGGGCUCAACCUGUGGCCUGCAUUUGAAACUGUUUUUCUUGAGUACUGGAGAGGCAGACGGAAUUCCUAGUGUAGCGGUGAAAUGCGUAGAUAUUAGGAGGAACACCAGUGGCGAAGGCGGCCUGCUGGACAGCAACUGACGCUGAGGCGCGAAAGCGUGGGGAGCAAACAGGAUUAGAUACC